rnacentral:rRNA from 1 species
UACGUAGGGUGCAAGCGUUGUCCGGAAUUAUUGGGCGUAAAGAGCUCGUAGGCGGUCUGUCGCGUCUGCUGUGAAAACCUAGGGCUUAACUCUGGGCGUGCAGUGGGUACGGGCAGGCUAGAGUGCGGUGGGGGAGACUGGAAUUCCUGGUGUAGCGGUGAAAUGCGCAGAUAUCAGGAGGAACACCGAUGGCGAAGGCAGGUCUCUGGGCCGAUACUGACGCUGAGGAGCGAAAGCGUGGGUAGCGGACAGG